rnacentral:rRNA from 1 species
UACGAAGGGGGCUAGCGUUGCUCGGAAUCACUGGGCGUAAAGCGCACGUAGGCGGACUCUUAAGUCAGGGGUGAAAUCCUGGAGCUCAACUCCAGAACUGCCUUUGAUACUGGGAGCCUUGAGUUCGGGAGAGGUGAGUGGAACUGCGAGUGUAGAGGUGAAAUUCGUAGAUAUUCGCAAGAACACCAGUGGCGAAGGCGGCUCACUGGCCCGAUACUGACGCUGAGGCACGAAAGCGUGGGGAGCAAACAGG